rnacentral:misc_RNA from 1 species
AACGCACCUUGCGCUCCUUGGUAUUCCGAGGAGCAUGCCUGUUUGAGUGUCUUGAAAUCAUCAAACCCUCCUUGCUUUUUGCGAUGGAGGUGUUUGGAGCUGGGGUGUGCUGCCUGCGAGGGCGGCUCCCCCGAAAUGCAUCGGUCGGGCCUGCGGGCCGAACCCGGCUGGGGGCGUUGUAUCCACCCUCGCUCUGAGGCCGGGAGCCUUCCGCCUGUUUGCGUGCCUCGACCUCGACCUCCGAUAUGGAGCGGCGGUCAAGACCACCUCUCGAAAUCUGACCUCAAAUCAGGUAGGACUACCCGCUGAACUUAA